GCCAGUGUAGCAUAGUGGUUUGAGCACUAGACUACUGACUCUGGAGACCAGGGUUCGAUUCCCUGCUUGGCCA